UGCCAGCCGCCGCGGUAAUACGUAGGCAGCAAGCGUUGUUCGGAAUUACUGGGCGUAAAGAGAGUGUAGGCUGUCUACCAAGUCUGCUGUGAAAUUUCCCGGCUCAACUGGGAGCACGCAACGGAAACUGGUGGACUCGAGUCCGAGAGAGGAGAGCGGAAUUCCUGGUGUAGCGGUGAAAUGCGUAGAUAUCAGGAGGAACACCGGUGGUGAAGACGGCUCUCUGGAUCGGUACUGACGCUGAGACUCGAAAGCGUGGGUAGCAAACAGGAUUAGAUA
rnacentral:rRNA from 1 species